ACUCCUGAUUUCAGGUGAUCUGCCCACCUCAGCUUCCCAAAGUGCUGGGAUUACAGCUGUAAGCCACCGUGCCCACAGAGUUCAUACUUUUUAGACUGCUCUAUCAUGUGACUGCUUAACCACUGUCAGAAAGUUGGGACCAGGUAGCCAGCCGGGGGCAAGCUGACGGUUUCUGCAUUGGGAUACAAAGUAGGGGUUAAGACUGGGGACCUCAAGGCUUUGCUUCUGCCCAGGAUUUAAUGGCAACACUUAGGCUCCAAGAUUCAGUGGAAGGAAAUUCCAGCUGUGGACUCUGAGGACUUUGGAAAAUUGUGUUUCAUAUGUGAAUACACUUGCCCUUUAGCAAGAAUCUCUGCUGAUAAGCCUUCCUCCUGUGUUUUUGUUGGUCCCUUAGAGAAUGGUAGAGAAGUUUCCCAUUUUGAUAGACUUUUUAAUGAUGUUACAAAAAUAUCAAUUCACGCUGAUUCCACAAGGGGUGAGUGACAGCUGCUGCUUCCCAAAUGCCACAUUUCUUCAAAUAAAAAGCAGAAGAUAGCAUGCAGUACCUAGGAACUCAUGUCUCAGUAAAGACAAAAUUGAAAUAAUAGUCUCAUGUCAUAAAAAGAGGACUUAUUUUCCUCACCCAGCCAGCAAGUUUGCUCUUCUCGCUAUACUUGUUUGACGUAAACUACUGACUUCCUGUGAGCACUGAUCUGAAGAGGGCCAUGAAGAGCCUCCUACACUUCUGUUUGUUCCCUUGAAGGUGUCAUAUUUCAGGCUGUGUUUAGCUGUUCCUAUUGUUGAUGUGUCCAUUCAUGGCUGAGGUAUGUCUCAUAACACAUCUGUGAGAGAGGGCCUUGGAGGAACAUCACCAAAGGCUGAGGAGCAAUGUCUUUGCAGUGAUUCCUAGUCCAUCUUGUCCUCUGGCUUUUACUUCAGAAGGGACACUCCUGUCUUGCUGGCAAGAGGGAAUGGGCUCUGCCUUAAAUUCCAGCCAUGGACUCUGCUUUGCAAGAUAUCUGCUUGUCAGAACCUGAGACUGCAGGUGUUCAGGGUCUGGUCUGUAUGACCAUGGGACAGGUCCCAGGUAUAUGACUGACAGGCCAUAUACCUGAAGCUCUUCCCCUUACCCAAGCCCAGAUCAGGAAACCGUCAACUGUGAGAGCACUCCUUUAUUCCCAAACAGCCAUUAUUGUUUCCCUUCCCGAGACUCUUUGUAAAGACAUCUGGGGGAGUAAGCAUAAAUCCUUUCUAGAUCAAACAGAAACACCAAAAACCAGGAGAAAAGGGGAUAACCAAUGUACCCACUCCAUUCAGAUGAAUGCAAUCCAAACUGAAAAAGAGCCAGUCAUGCCUCACUCACUCAGUGACAGUGCAAUGUAAUACUUCCAAAGAUCUGAUUAGGCACUUCUGUUUUUCUUAUUUUGUUUCAAGCUUAUACUUUACAAAGUAAGGGAUUUUUGUUGUUGUUGUUUGUGUGUGUGUGUGUUUUGUUUUGUUUUGAGGAAAUGAAUCACCUUUAAAGUAGAGGGGGUAAAACACCAGAGCUUAGUGACCCCUGAUGGAGGCUUUUAUAAUUCCUUUACUUUCUGGCUCUGACAGCACUAACUACUAGGGUUACCUGCUCUAAGUCUGGUCUGUCAGCCCACCCAGAGCUGAAGUGGCUGAAUCACUGCCUGACAUGACGGGAAAGUCUGAACUUGGGGGAAAAAUGAGAGAGGAGAAGAGAAGGAAGAGGGAACAGGGAAGAGGGUGGGGCAAGAACUGGAAAGAAGAGGAAGGGAGGGAAAGAUGGUUCAGAGGAUGAUGCAAGAUGUCCGCUGGCAUAUGGGACUGGGACUAACCUCUUCCAUAAUGAGAGAAUAUCUCCGCUUAUAAAGUUCCUGACAUAGUGUGUGACCCAGGGUAGGAGCCCAGCAAAUGUGAAGGCUUCUGUGAUGACCAGCCCCUUGGCUGCCCCCUCAUACUCCAUGGGGCUUCAUUUAUACUUCCUGGGAAGUAAAACAGAAUCAGAUUCUGGUUGUGUUGAAAUUACCUUUCACUCCUCUGGAACCCCAGGGAGCCUAGGGCUGCUACUGCUGCACCUUAGUCCUCAGGGCAGCCCAAACCUGGCUAUAGAGCUAGAUGCCUAUGGAUGAUCAUCUGUACUCUCCAGACAGCUUGAGAGCAGAGUUAUAGCAUGCUUCCUCAUGCAUCUUGAGAUAGUCUCUUCUGGGAACAGUGCCCUGCGUGCCCAGCACAUUUGGUGACAUUCACAGCCCACAUUAGGCUCCUGCUUAGAAUACCAUUUCAUGUGCCCACUUCCAGGGCCCUGCUUGUGACUCUGUAGGGGAGAGAGCCCUCAGUGGCAUUGGGCUAAGGACAGCCUAGGACACUCUCCUUUCUCAUCCAGGUAAUUCUCAUCAUGGUUCUCAUCCCAAGUCCUUGAAACCCCACGAAGGUACUAGCCCUGGAGAUACAGUAGUAAAUGGACAGGACAGAGCCUGCCCUUGAGGAGUGCCCAUCCAAGGAUCCCUGGACCUGGAAAUGAGAAACAAAUCUUGAUUUCUCCGCUGAAUCCUCAGCCUACCAAUGUGUGGGAAUAUAUACCAAUUUGCCAAUGUGCUUUGUCUCCUUCUCCUGGAGUUGGGCUCAAAGGUGGAGGUAGAGUAGAAGCCCAGGAGCAAGGGGACUCUCUUUGUUGCAUGGUACCCUAAAAGGCCUAGAGUCCUAGAACUCCCCUCAUACCAAAUCCACAUAUCUUAGCUGCAGAAGUGUCUGGGGCAGUCCCCUGAGCUUGUUGUGACACUAAAGUGGCAUGGGAAAGCAGCUGAAUUUUCCUGUGCCUCCAAGGAGAUAAGAGAGGGAGGGAGAGAGAGAGAGAGAGGGAAAGAGAAAGUGGGAGGGAAGGAGUGAGAAGGAGAGGGAAAGGGGGAGAGAACGAGUGAGAGAGAGAGCAUGCCUCCAAAAAAUGUCACAAUAGAAAGUGACAUGGACUGUGCAGCUAGGAACCAGGUUAGAAUGACAACACCACAUUGGAAGACAGCAUGAAGAUACGCCAUCUCUGAGGGCUGGAUGGGAUUUUACAUUGGAGUGGAUGCUCGCAUGGACAAGUUGCCAAUGACAAUGGCCAGAUUCUCUUUUCUUUCACUCUCUCUCUCUCUCUCUCUCUCUCCCUCUCUCCCCCCGCCCCCGAAUUUAAGAGCCUCACAGAAUUUAGGCUAUAGUCUGUGGCAAAGGAGACAAUCCUGAAUUGCUUGGUAACAAUAAUUGAUAAUUAGUAAGACAAUCCUGAAGUAACUGGGAAAAUGUGGAAUUGACUAGAUUAAAUUUUGUUAUCUGUUCGAAUUGAGACUCAAGAUAGGGCUCUUUUGUGGUAGAUGCAAUUCUAGGUGGCCCCCCAAGUUUCCUGUCCCCUAUUGUAUGUGACCCCUUGUGUAUGGGUAGAAUGUAGUAUGAUCAGCCCUCCUUAUCCACGUGUUCCACAUCUGUGGAUUCAGCCAACUGGUGAAUUUGAAAAAGAUGGAUGGUUGCCUCUGCA